rnacentral:rRNA from 1 species
UGGGGAAUAUUGCACAAUGGGGGAAACCCUGAUGCAGCGACGCCGCGUGAGCGAAGAAGGUUUUCGAAUCGUAAAGCUCUGUCCUAUGGGAAGAUAAUGACGGUACCAUAGGAGGAAGCACCGGCGAACUAAGUGCAAGCAGCCGCGGUAAUACGUAGGGGGCAAGCGUUGUCCGGAAUCACUGGGCGUAAAGGGUUCGCAGGCGGAAAUGCAAGUCAGUUGUGAAAGGCAGAGGCUCAACCUCUGUAAGCAAUUGAAACUGUAUUUCUUGAGAUGUGGAGAGGCAAGUGGAAUUCCUAGUGUAGCGGUGAAAUGCGUAGAUAUUAGGAAGAAUACCGGUGGCGAAGGCGACUUGCUGGACACAAACUGACGCUGAGGAACGAAAGCGUGGGUAGCAAACAGG